UACAGAGGUCUCAAGCGUUGUUCGGAUUUACUGGGCGUAAAGGGUGCGCAGGUGGUUGGAUAAGUCGGGUGUGAAAUCCCAAAGCUUAACUUUGGAACGGCGCUCGAAACUAUCCGGCUUGAGGACUGGAGGGGAGACUGGAAUUCCUGGUGUAGCGGUGAAAUGCGUAGAUAUCAGGAGGAACACCCGUGGCGAAGGCGGGUCUCUGGACAGUUCCUGACGCUGAGGCACGAAAGCCAGGGGAG
rnacentral:rRNA from 1 species